CUAAUACUACCUCCGUCCGAAAAUACUUGUCCUAAAAAUGCAUAUAUGCAUUUUUAGGACAAGUAUUUUCGGACGGAGGGAGUAUUAU
rnacentral:pre_miRNA from 1 species